GACGAACGCUGGCGGCGUGCCUAAUACAUGCAAGUCGAACGCAGUGGGGACGGGUGAGUAACACGUGGGUAACCUCCCAUCAGAGGGGAUAACAUUUGGAAACAGGUGCUAAACCCAUAGUGAUGGAUGGACCCUGGAUGCAUUAGCUAGUUGGUGAGGUAACGGCUCACCAAGGCCACGGUGCAUACCCGCCCGGCGAGGUGGGUCAGCAACACUGGGACUGAGACACGGCCCAUACUCCUACGGGAGGAAGCAGUAGGGAAUCUUCGGCAAUGGACGAAAGUCUGACCAAGCAACGCCGCGUGAGUGAAGAAGGUUUUCGGAUCGUAAAGCUCUGUUGUUAGAGAAGCGGUAUCUAACCAGAAAGCCACGGCUAACUACGUGCCAGCAGCCGCGGUAAUAC
rnacentral:rRNA from 1 species